ensembl:lincRNA Gm20649 predicted gene 20649
AUAGUGAUUCCCUUUCAGAGCUUUCUCGGGCCCAUAACAAGCGCAGGCAGCUAUUCAAAUGCAAGUUGCGUCCCUAAAUGCGCGGCUGGCCUGAGCUAAAGGAGCAGCUCGUCACCGUGCGAGCCGAGACCAGCGUUGGGGUUCUGGGUCACCUCUUUUCUCCCGGCUUUUCCCUCGCUCUCCGGUUCCUGAAUUAGCUGUUUGUUUAUGGCUCCAGACGUGUGUGCCAGCGAGCCGAGGCAGCGUGCAAGGGAGAAAAUUGAUCUUUCCUCAGACUCAAAGCUGGAGCCGAAGAAGUGCGGGGGAUUUGGGGGUUCUGAGUGGGACUCAGACCCUAGGUGCUGAGGGGAAGCUCGUGGGCUCUCUGGCCCGCUUCUCUAACCCCAGCGACCUUGCAGGAAUCCUCAGGCCUGAGAGCGCCCGGGCUCUGGGCUUUGCAGAAAGUGGCGGCGGCUGUGUCCCGGGUUUUAAAAUCAACGCAAAGGAAAGGAGGCAAAGCUGAAAGCUUGUCGCGUGUCAGAAGCAACCUGCCGUGAAAUCCGCUAAUGCGCCCCGACUCGCCCUUCGCGCCUGCAAACGGAAAGAGCAAGAACAUGGGAAGGACAGAGGCAACACCCCCAAAAAGCCCAGGCUGGUCUUCACAGACGUCCAACGUCGAACUCUACAUGCAAUAUUCAAGGAAAAUAAGCGUCCGUCCAAAGAAUUACAAAUCACCAUCUCCCAGCAGCUGGGGUUGGAGCUGAGCACUGUCAGCAACUUCUUCAUGAAUGCCAGGAGGAGGAGUCUGGACAAGUGGCAGGACGAGGGCGGCUCCAACUCAGGCAGUUCAUCGUCCUCAUCGAGCACUUGUACCAAAGCAUGAGGGAGGAAGAACCACGGACUAGUACCUCGGUGGAAAAGCUUUAAAUUAAAUUAAAAAAAAAAGUUUUUAAAGACCAGGACCUCAAGAUAGCAGGUUUAUACUUAGAAAUAUUUGAAGAAAAACAAGUGGUAUUUAUAGUCCAAAGAAACCAAAGACUGAAGCUCACCUGCAUUCUGACUUUGUUCAGAGACACAUACUUCAGCGGGGCAAGACCCGGCAGGAAAGAUGAUGGGGAAAACAUCUGAUCUCACGCCUUCAACCCCUGCACCUCACUGUGCUCGGCUGCUCAGUGGCUCUAAGCACAGUUAUGUUUGAGCCAUUGAGUGGACAUCCUUUAAGAUCAGACAUUCUUAUCUGUUCCACCACACCACAAAGGUGUAUAGCGUUUCAAUAUCACAUGUGGGUAUGGAUGUGUGUGUGUGUGUGUGUGUGUGUGUGUGUGUACACACAUAUACACACAUGCAACAACAACAACAGUGGUUAGGGACUCGGGCGGGGCUGGUCUUCAGGAAGGGUUGCACCAUAGGAGUGUGACCAACCCGGUGUGGGAUUUCUAAGUUCAUUGGAUCUGAGAUGUGAUUUCUCUCAUCUAGCCUAGCGUUUGAACCUGCCAGGCCCACAACCUAAAUGCAGAGUCAAACCCAGCAGAGAACAUUUGAAUGGCGCCUAAACCAGUGCACUCUCUUUGUUUGUUAAGAAAUGUUCAGAUAUUUUUUAAAAAAAUGAAACGAGUCCAUCCAUUAAAAAAAAUCACCUAGGUACCAAAGAACACACAGUAUUAUAGUGCAGGUAUUUUAUUGCAAUGAUUUUAAUAACCAAAGCUAUUUUUACACAAGAUACUAUGUAAAGUUAUACUUAUGAACUGAUCUAGCUGUAAUCCACAUGCCACAUAGAUUCAGGACUAUUAUUUAUGACUCUUGAAAGCAUUUGAAAUAUGAAUUUUCAGAACUGGCAAGGAAGACCGUGGCUUCAGGGAAGCAGUUACCAUCAUGACAGAGAGUCUGACACCAUGCAUGUGGGACCCAUAAAUGCCGCUUACACACAGAAAAGACAUAAUGAAUAAUCUACUCACAGCUGAGAAGAUGCGAGGACCCUUUCAGAGUAGGGCCCUGUAUAAACACUAGAAAAAUAAGCUUAACACAGCAGAUAAUUAAAUAACGAAAAUUGUCCAAAGUGAUCCGUUAACAAAAAAAACUUAGACUAAUUUCGCUUAAAUUUACUCUAUGUACUUUGGCACCAAAUAUCAUUUAAAAAUCCUUCCCAAACACUAAUGAAGCAAGCAUGCAAAUAUUAAUCACAGUUCGUUAUCCCAUAUUUUAUAACCAUCCUAAAAAGCAUUUGAACUGACUUAUUGGCCAUUUCAGGUGUUUUACAGUGUAGAUGUUAGGAAAUCAGCAGGCGCCACUGAGAAACAGCAGAAUGGUAGAACCACACAGAAGAAGCCAGAGGUCCGGUCUCACAUAAGACGCUUCGUCCUUUCAGAAUUAAAGGACUCAUUUCACUAAGCAUCGCCUCCAAAGCAAGUCACAGUCCUUCUUGCUAUCAAUGAACCUGGUAAUUUUACCACAUGGUUUCUACUCUCUGACAGGGCUAGGAUAGAAAUGAGUCCCAAGCUUCCUAAUCAAAAAUUUAAAUUUUGACUUUUUCCAAAUCAUUUAACUGGGGAUGAACAGACCAAGGCAGGAAAAGAAAACAAAGUUCUAGCAAUCAUUUGACUCCCAGAAACACUCUGAACUCAGUUGAACUACAACCGAUGUGAAUGAACACCUGCUAAACAGGAAGGUCAAGAAUGGGGGACCCUCAGUUAAUAUUGCACCUCAAUAGAAAGAUAACACCAAAAGCAAUAUUGAUAGUAAGUUCUGCACUGAGAUUCACUAAAAUGCCA